CACUCCUUCGGGAGGCAGCAGUGGGGAAUAUUGGACAAUGGGCGCAAGCCUGAUCCAGCCAUGCCGCGUGAGUGAUGAAGGCCCUAGGGUUGUAAAGCUCUUUCACCGGUGAAGGUAAUGACGGUAACCGGAGAAGAAGCCCCGGCUAACUUCGUGCCAGCAGCCGCGGUAAUACGAAGGGGGCUAGCGUUGUUCGGAUUUACUGGGCGUAAAGCGCACGUAGGCGGACUAUUAAGUCAGGGGUGAAAUCCCGGGGCUCAACCCCGGAACUGCCGUUGAUACUGGUAGUCUUGAGUUCGAGAGAGGUGAGUGGAAUUCCGAGUGUAGAGGUGAAAUUCGUAGAUAUUCGGAGGAACACCAGUGGCGAAGGCGGCUCACUGGCUCGAUACUGACGCUGAGGUGCGAAAGCGUGGGGAGCAAACAGGAUUAGAAACCCGUGUAGUCCC
rnacentral:rRNA from 1 species